AUUGAACGCUGGCGGAAUGCUUUACACAUGCAAGUCGAACGGUAGAGGGGGCAACCCCUUGAGAGUGGCGAACGGGUGAGUAAUAUAUCGGAACGUGCCCAGUCGUGGGGAUAACGUAGCGAAAGCUACGCUAAUACCGCAUACGAUCUAUGGAUGAAAGCGGGGGAUCGCAAGACCUCGCGCGAUUGGAGCGGCCGAUAUCAGAUUAGGUAGUUGGUGAGGUAAAGGCUCACCAAGCCGACGAUCUGUAGCUGGUCUGAGAGGACGACCAGCCACACUGGGACUGAGACACGGCCCAGACUCCUACGGGAGGCAGCAGUGGGGAAUUUUGGACAAUGGGCGCAAGCCUGAUCCAGCAAUGCCGCGUGCAGGAUGAAGGCCU
rnacentral:rRNA from 1 species